UACGUAGGGUGCGAGCGUUGUCCGGAUUUAUUGGGCGUAAAGAGCUCGUAGGCGGUUCGGUAAGUCGGGUGUGAAAACUCUGGGCUCAACCCAGAGAGGCCACCCGAUACUGCCGUGACUGGAGUGCGGUAGGGGAGUGGGGAAUUCCUGGUGUAGCGGUGAAAUGCGCAGAUAUCUGGAGGAACACCGGUGGCGAAGGCGGCAUUCUGGACCGAAACUGACGCUGAGGCGCGAAAGCCAGGGGAGCAAACGGG
rnacentral:rRNA from 1 species